AGGAUUAACGCUGGCGGCGUGCAUGAAACAUGCAAGUCGAGCGCGGUGUGAUGCGGGGUAACCCAAUUCACAUCUAGCGGCGAACGGGUGAGUAACACGUGAGCAACCUACCUUUGAGUUGGGGAUAGCCCUGGGAAACCAGGAUUAAUACCCGAUGUGGUCACAACAGGACAUCCUGAUGUGAGUAAAGGCGUAAGCCGCUCAAUGACGGGCUCGCGGCCUAUUAGCUUGUUGGUGGGGUAACGGCCUACCAAGGCGAUGAUGGGUAGCUGGUCUGAGAGGACGAUCAGCCACACUGGGACUGAGACACGGCCCAGACUCCUACGGGAGGCAGCAGUUAGGAAUUUUCCGCAAUGGGCGAAAGCCUGACGGAGCAACGCCGCGUGAGUGAUGAAGACCUUCGGGUUGUAAAGCUCUGUCGGAGGGGAAGAACACAAUGACGGUACCUCCAACGAAAACCCCGGCUAACUACGUGCCAGCAGCCGC
rnacentral:rRNA from 1 species